CGCAAUAGCCGAGUCACGGGACUGACGCAAGGCCAUCGACGCUUGGCUGUUGGCUUAUCGUACCACACCCCAUACGGUCACCGGUCAGCCACCAGCCACCAGCAGCCAUGAUGUUCGGACGAAACGUCAACGACAAGCUUCCAUCACUACAGCCGUCAGCGCCCAUAAACAUCAACCGUAGGUCAUACCGACAGCACGACGCCAACAACGAGCAAAAGGGGAAGUGCUACAACGACA
rnacentral:lncRNA from 1 species